rnacentral:miRNA from 2 species
UGACUAGAAAGUGCACUCACUU